UCCAUAGUCUAUACACACACCCGUGUCAGUAAACCAUGUCCGGCUGAAGAAACUCAGAAGAUGAAAUGAAAUCACGGCAAUCCAAGAAGAAAAUGAAGAAGUAACUCAAAUCAUUUCUCAUUCACAAGCUUUGUGGAUCAUGGGUUCGUGGUAGAAGAACAUUUGGGGGGGCUCAGCUGGAGAUGAAGUCCCGUUUGAUCUUUCUUGUUGAACAGGCGGAUUAGAAACUUAAUCAGCUGUUGAACCAAAUUGUCCAAAUGAACCAGAUGUUAUCCUUUCCCAACAAAUACCCGUGUCAAGAAGUGGCUGAUGCACACUGCCUGCCUGAUCCACACAAGCAGGAAACAGUAUCAGAAGUGCGAAGUCUAAGGAGGGCAGCCUUAUUACUUCUCCUCACUGUUGUGAUUAAGUUUGUUGUGCUUGAAGACCGCUUCCCAAAUUUGUCACUGCAACCCUCAUUACAAAAAUCUAAUUCGUCACCCCAACAGAUCUUUAAUUCAAAGGAAGUUUUGAUGAAGAGAGGUUUUUUGGUCGAAAUUUAUAUGAAUUGGAUCGUCGGUUCGUAGUACAAGAAAAUGUGGGGUGUCGUUUUUCAAAACUGCAACUGGGUUUUUGCUGGCUUUAUUGUACAUGAGUUGGCAGAGGCGGCGACAUCGACGAGCUCAGCUGGAGAUGAAGGACCAUUUGAUCUUUCUUGUUGAACAAGUGGAUGAGAAACUGAGUCAGCUGUUGAACCAAAUUGUCCAAAUGAACCAGUUCUUAUCCUUGCCCAACAAAGUACCUGUGUCGAGAAGUGGCUGACUCACACCUCCUGCAUGAUCCACACAAGCAGGAAACAAUAUUCGAUGCAGGGAAGUCUAAGAAGGACAGCCUUAUUACUUCUCCUCACUGUUGUGAUUAAGUUUGUUGUGCUAGAAGGCCGCUGCCCCAAAUUUGUCACUGCAACCCUGAUUACAACAAUCUAAUUCAUCACCCCGCAGAUCUUUAAUUCAAAGGAAGUGUUGAUGAAGAGAUUGGAUUUGAGGUUGUAUCUUUUAUGGUCGAAAUUUAUAUGAAUUGGAUCGUCGGUUCGUGGUAGAAGAAAAUUUGGGGCGUCAUUUUUCAGAACUGCAACUGGUGGUUUUGCAGCUGGGUUUUUAUUGGCUUUAUUGUACAUGAGUUGGCAGAGGCGACGAUGUCCACGAGCUCAGCUGGAGAUGAAGGGCCAUUUGAUCUUUCUUGUUGAACAGGUGGAUGAGAAACUUAGUCAGCUAUUGAACCAAAUUGUCCAAAUGAACCAGUUCUUAUCCUUGCCCAACAAAGUACAUGUGUCGAGAAGUGGCUGACGCACAAUGCCUUCCUGGUCCAGACAAGCAGGAAACAGUAUUUGACGCGGGGAAGUCUAAAGUACAUGAGUUGGCAGAGGCGGCGACGUCGACGAGCUCAGCUGGAGAUGAAGAACCGUUUGAUCAGGAGGAUGAGAAACUGAGUCAGCUGUUGAACCAAAUUGUCCAAAUGAACCAGUUCUUAUCCUUGCCCAACAAAGUACCUGUGUCGAGAAGUGGCUGACUCACACCUCCUGCAUGAUCCACACAAGCAGGAAACAAUAUUCGAUGCAGGGAAGUCUAAGAAGGACAGCCUUAUUACUUCUCCUCACUGUUGUGAUUAAGUUUGUUGUGCUAGAAGGCCGCUGCCCCAAAUUUGUCACUGCAACCCUGAUUACAACAAUCUAAUUCAUCACCCCGCAGAUCUUUAAUUCAAAGGAAGUGUUGAUGAAGAGAUUGGAUUUGAGGUUGUAUCUUUUAUGGUCGAAAUUUAUAUGAAUUGGAUCGUCGGUUCGUGGUAGAAGAAAAUUUGGGGCGUCAUUUUUCAGAACUGCAACUGGUGGUUUUGCAGCUGGGUUUUUAUUGGCUUUAUUGUACAUGAGUUGGCAGAGGCGACGAUGUCCACGAGCUCAGCUGGAGAUGAAGGGCCAUUUGAUCUUUCUUGUUGAACAGGUGGAUGAGGUAUGUCCUUGACUCCUUGUUUUGUUUGGGUUUUAGUUCACUGAAUUAACAACUUCGAAUUUUAUUAUCAACUGUUUGUGAAAAUCACUAAGACAAUGGAUACGUUUAAGAUACUAAAAUGAAGUUACUACACUCAGAAUUGAGACCCAUUACAAGUUUGCGACGAAAGUCUAUUAGCUUGUAAUUUAAGUGACAUAGUAUUGAUGGAGUUUACAACUGUAGGUUGCUCAUUACUUUGACCCACUCAGAUGGCAUAGCUGCCGCAUAAGUAAAUCGGGUGCUAUGCUAUGAAUUUGAGCUGGUUUAUUGCUUAGAUUGCUACUUAGGAAUCAAUGGAAUGUCUGUUCCUUGUUAGAUACAGAGACCCGUAUUAUGCUUAGAGAUCUCUUCAACUUAGGUGGAAAAUGUGAACCUAAAUUCCAAAGAUGAGAUUUGUGUUUAUGAACAAAUCAAGCUAGAUGGUUAACGCCUUAACGUGAUUGAUGGAACUGCAACUUAGUGGACUCAGAUUGAUUUCGGUAGAUUAUAUCACUUUUGUGAUACUGCAAUAUCUUUCGGAGUUGU